AAUCACAAAGUGAACGUGAAUUCUGAUCUGACCACGCGUGUCUUCUUAUGUGUCCAAACAGAAACAGCUGGGGGCGACACUGAGUGACAUCAAGACGAGACUUGAGGAGAGAGAGAAUACACUGAAGGAGACGAGGAGGGCGACGGAGGAGAUGAAGAUGUCACUGCAAAGAGAGAUGUAAGAAAAUGAGAAGAGCUUCACUGAUCUGAUACAGUGCAUUGAGGAAGCCCACAGGAAACUGAUUGUGAGGACCAGAGAACAAGAAAAGAGAGAAACGGAGAAGGCUGAAGGAGUGAUGGAGCAACUGGAGAAGGAGAUUGAGGAGCUGAAGAGGAGAGAAGCUGAGCUGAAGGAGUUUUCAGAGACCAAGGACCACGUCCACUUCCUGAAGACUUCUGUCCCCUCACACUGGACAUCAACACGGCACACAGAGACCUCCGUCUGUCUGAAGGGAAUAAGAAGGUGACAUGUUAGAGGACAAAGACUGAAUAUCCUGAUCAUCCUGACAGAUUUGACUACUGGGAACAAGUUCUGUGCAGAGAGGUUCUGACUGGGACUCGCUGCUACUGGGAGGUGGAGUGCAGUGGACGUCUCAUGAGGAUUGGAGUCGCAUAUAAAGGACUGAACAGGAAAGGAAAGAACUGGGUGUGCGGCCUUGGAUACAACGACAAGUCCUGGUGUUUGCUGUGGUCUCAUUCCCAGUACUCUGUGUGUCACAAUAAAAAGGAGACUGUAAUCCGCGCCCCCUACAGCCCCAGAAUAGGUGUGUAUCUGGACUGGCCUGCUGGCUCUCUGUCAUUUUAUAGCGUCUCACACACAAUGACCCUCCUGCACAGGUUCAACACCUCCUUCACUGAGCCCCUUUAUUCAGGGUUUUGGCUUGAUCUUCACUGUAGUGUAACAAUCAGCCAUCUGACACCAUGUGACCACUGACCAGUACCCUCUACUUGUCACUUGAUGUCCCCACAAGCUCAGGUGUCUUUAUAGUUUGUGGU